rnacentral:rRNA from 1 species
GAUAAACGCUGGCGGCGUGCAUGAGACAUGCAAGUCAUACGGACGAGCUUGCUCGUCAGUGGCGAACGGCUGAGUAAUGAGUAGGUGACCUGCCCCGCAGUGGGGGUUGACUGCCCGAAAGGGUGGCUAAUACCGCAUGUGGCGACGUGUUCAUUCACGUCAUCAAAGCCGCGAGGCGCUUCGGGAGGGGCCCGCGUCCGAUUAGCUCGUUGGUGGGGUAACGGCUCACCAAGGCGACGAUCGGUAGGUGGGCUGAGAGGACGAUCACCCAGACUGGGACUGAGACACGGCCCAGACUCCUACGGGAGGCAGCAGUCGGGAAUUUUGCUCAAUGGGGUAAACCCUGAAGCAGCAGCGCCGCGUGCGGGAUGAAGGCCUUCGGGUUGUAAACCGCUUUUACCAGGGACGAUAAUGACGGUACCUGGUGAAUAAGUCACGGCUAACUACGUGCCAGCCGCCGCUGUAACAC